rnacentral:rRNA from 1 species
AGGGUGUAAACGCUGCAGACUUGGUGUUGGAAGCCCUUUGGGGGCAUUCAGUGCCGGAGAGAAGUUGUUAAGUCUGCUACUUGGGGAGUACGUCCGCAAGGAUGAAACUUAAAGGAAUUGGCGGGGGGAGCACCGCAACGGGAGGAGCGUGCGGUUUAAUUGGAUUCAACACCGUAAAACUCACCAGGGAAGACUGUUACAUGAAAGCCGAGAUGAAGACUCUGCUAGAUUUUCAGAGAGGUGGUGCAUGGCGUCAGUGACU